GAUGAACGCUAGCGGCAGGCUUAACACAUGCAAGUCGAGGGGCAGCGCGGGGCGGCAACGUCCUGGCGGCGACCGGCGGAAGGGUGCGUAACGCGUGAGCGACAUGCCCGUUGCCCGGGGACAACCGGUGGAAACGCCGACUAAUCCCCGAUGGGACGGAGGCCCUCAUGGGUCUCUGUUGAAAGUUACGGCGGCGACGGAUUGGCUCGCGUCCGAUUAGCUUGUUGGCGGGGUAACGGCCCACCAAGGCUACGAUCGGUAGGGGUUCUGAGAGGAAGGUCCCCCACAAUGGAACUGAGACACGGUCCAUACUCCUACGGGAGGCAGCAGUGUGGAAUAUUGGUCAAUGGGCGGAAGCCUGAACCAGCCAUGCCGCGUGCGGGAAGGAGGCCCUAUGGGCUGUGAACCGCUUUUGCCUGGGGGCAAUAAGGGCGUCGUGCACGUCCGAUGAGAGUACCAGGCGAAUAAGCAUCGGCUAACUCCGUGCCAGCAGCCGCGGUAAUACGGGGGAUGCGAGCGUUAUCCGGAUUCAUUGGGUUUAAAGGGUGCGUAGGCUGUGCGUCAAGUCAGGGGUGAAAUUCCGGGGCUCAACUCCGGGGCUGCCCUUGAUACUGUCGCGCUGGAGUGCGGAUGCCGCCGGAGGAAUGAGUGGUGUAGCGGUGAAAUGCUUAGAUAUCACUCAGAACACCGAUUGCGAAGGCAUCUGGCGAAUCCGUAACUGACGCUGAGGCACGAAAGCGUGGGGAUAGAACAGGAUUAGAUACCCUGGUAUUCCACGCCGUAAACGAUGAUGGCUAACCGCCGGCGACACACUGUCGGUGGCCAAGCGAAAGCGAUAAGCCAUCCACCUGGGGAGUACGUCGGCAACGAUGCAACUCAAAUGAAUUGACGG
rnacentral:rRNA from 1 species